rnacentral:rRNA from 1 species
GUGUCAGCAGCCGCGGUAAUACGUAGGUGGCAAGCGUUGUCCGGAUUUAUUGGGCGUAAAGCGAGCGCAGGCGGUUUCUUAAGUCUGAUGUGAAAGCCCCCGGCUCAACCGGGGAGGGUCAUUGGAAACUGGGAGACUUGAGUGCAGAAGAGGAGAGUGGAAUUCCAUGUGUAGCGGUGAAAUGCGUAGAUAUAUGGAGGAACACCAGUGGCGAAGGCGGCUCUCUGGUCUGUAACUGACGCUGAGGCUCGAAAGCGUGGGGAGCAAACAGGAUUAGAAACCCCCGUAGUCC